rnacentral:rRNA from 1 species
AUUGAACGCUGGCGGCAUGCCUUACACAUGCAAGUCGAACGGUAACAGGUCUUCGGAUGCUGACGAGUGGCGAACGGGUGAGUAAUACAUCGGAACGUGCCUAGUAGUGGGGGAUAACUACUCGAAAGAGUGGCUAAUACCGCAUGAGAUCUACGGAUGAAAGCAGGGGAUCGCAAGACCUUGUGCUACUAGAGCGGCCGAUGGCAGAUUAGGUAGUUGGUGGGAUAAAAGCUUACCAAGCCGACGAGCUGUAGCUGGUCUGAGAGGACGAUCGGCCACACUGGGACUGAGACACGGCCCAGACUCCUACGGGAGGCAGCAGUGGGGAAUUUUGGACAAUGGGCGCAAGCCUGAUCCAGCAAUGCCGCGUGCAGGAUGAAGGCCUUCGGGUUGUAAACUGCUUUUGUACGGAACGAAAAGCCCUGGGUUAAUACCCUGGGGUCAUGACGGUACCGUAAGAAUAAGCACCGGCUAACUACGUGCCAGCCGCCGCCGUAAUAC